AGAGUUUGAUUCUGGCUCAGAACGAACGCUGGCGGCGUGGAUAAGACAUGCAAGUCGAACGGGAGAAUUGCUAGCUUGCUAAUAAUUCUCUAGUGGCGCACGGGUGAGUAACACGUGAGUAACCUGCCUCUUAGUGGGGGAUAGCCCUGGGAAACCGGGAUUAAUACCGCAUACGAUUGAAAGAUCAAAGCAGCAAUGCGCUAGGAGAUGGGCUCGCGGCCUAUUAGUUAGUUGGUGAGGUAACGGCUCACCAAGGCGAUGACGGGUAGCCGGUCUGAGAGGAUGUCCGGCCACACUGGAACUGAGACACGGUCCAGACACCUACGGGUGGCAGCAGUCGAGAAUCAUUCACAAUGGGGGCAACCCUGAUGGUGCGACGCCGCGUGGGGGAAUGAAGGUCUUCGGAUUGUAAACCCCUGUCAUGUGGGAGCAAAUUAAAAAGAUAGUACCACAAGAGGAAGAGACGGCUAACUCUGUGCCAGCAGCCGCGGUAAUACAGAGGUCUCAAGCGUUGUUCGGAAUCACUGGGCGUAAAGCGUGCGUAGGCUGUUUCGUAAGUCGUGUGUGAAAGGCAGGGGCUCAACCCCUGGAUUGCACAUGAUACUGCGAGACUAGAGUAAUGGAGGGGGAACCGGAAUUCUCGGUGUAGCAGUGAAAUGCGUAGAUAUCGAGAGGAACACUCGUGGCGAAGGCGGGUUCCUGGACAUUAACUGACGCUGAGGCACGAAGGCCAGGGGAGCGAAAGGGAUUAGAUACCCCUGUAGUCCUGGCAGUAAACGGUGCACGCUUGGUGUGCGGGGAAUCGACCCCCUGCGUGCCGGAGCUAACGCGUUAAGCGUGCCGCCUGGGGAGUACGGUCGCAAGACUAAAACUCAAAGGAAUUGACGGGGACCCGCACAAGCGGUGGAGUAUGUGGCUUAAUUCGAUGCAACGCGAAGAACCUUACCUGGGCUUGACAUGUAAUGAACAACAUGUGAAAGCAUGCGACUCUUCGGAGGCGUUACACAGGUGCUGCAUGGCCGUCGUCAGCUCGUGUCGUGAGAUGUUUGGUUAAGUCCAGCAACGAGCGCAACCCCUGUUGCCAGUUACCAUCGAGUAAUGUCGGGGACUCUGGCGAGACUGCCCAGAUCAACUGGGAGGAAGGUGGGGACGACGUCAGGUCAGUAUGGCCCUUAUGCCCAGGGCUGCACACGUACUACAAUGCCCAGUACAGAGGGGGCCGAAGCCGCGAGGCGGAGGAAAUCCUGAAAACUGGGCCCAGUUCGGACUGUAGGCUGCAACCCGCCUACACGAAGCCGGAAUCGCUAGUAAUGGCGCAUCAGCUACGGCGCCGUGAAUACGUUCCCGGGUCUUGUACACACCGCCCGUCACAUCAUGGAAGCCGGUCGCACCCGAAGUAUCUGAAGCCAACCGCAAGGAGGCAGGGUCCUAAGGUGAGACUGGUAACUGGGAUGAAGUCGUAACAAGGUAGCCGUAGGGGAACCUGCGG
rnacentral:rRNA from 1 species